rnacentral:rRNA from 1 species
UACGGAUGAUGCGAGCGUUAUCCGGAUUUAUUGGGUUUAAAGGGUGCGUAGGCGGUAUUUUAAGUUAGUGGUAAAACGUCGGGGCUUCACCUUGAUUGGCCAUUAAAACUGGAGUACUAGAGUACAGACGAGGUAGGCGGAAUAAGUUAAGUAGCGGUGAAAUGCUUAGAUAUUAGGAGGAACACCAGUGGCGAAGGCGGCCUGCUGGGCUUUUACUGACGCUGAGGCUCGAAAGUGUGGGGAGCAAACAGG